CCUACGGGGGGCAGCAGUAGGGAAUCUUCCACAAUGGGCGAAAGCCUGAUGGAGCAACGCCGCGUGGGUGAAGAAGGUCUUCGGAUCGUAAAACCCUGUUGUUAGAGAAGAAAGUGCGUGAGAGUAACUGUUCACGUUUCGACGGUAUCUAACCAGAAAGCCACGGCGAACUACGUGCCAGCAGCCGCGGUAAUACGUAGGUGGCAAGCGUUAUCCGGAUUUAUUGGGCGUAAAGGGAACGCAGGCGGUCUUUUAAGUCUGAUGGGAAAGCCUUCGGCUUAACCGGAGUAGUGCAUUGGAAACUGGGAGACUUGAGUGCAGAAGAGGAGAGUGGAACUCCAUGUGUAGCGGGGAAAUGCGUAGAUAUAUGGAAGAACACCAGUGGCGAAAGCGGCUCUCUGGUCUGUAACUGACGCUGAGGUUCGAAAGCGUGGGUAGCAAACAGGAUUAGAUACCCGAGUAGUC
rnacentral:rRNA from 1 species